rnacentral:lncRNA from 1 species
AACAUAAAGGCAUGGGGGUGGGGCUAUUAUAGUUGAGUAUAAAACAUAAAGGCAAGGGGGUGGGUGUGAGCUAUGGAUUUUGUUUUGGAAACAAAAAAUGUUUCCAGUUUUUGGCCCUGAAAAACUAAAUUUGUUUGUUUCACCCUCAGCUGCCACUAUAUAUAUAUAUAAUGCUAAAAUUGAUUUCGACUUGUCACCAAAAUUUGUCCUGGAAAAAUCAAUAGCCCACGCCCCUCUACCCCCCCUUUUCCCUCCCUAAAAAAUGAAGUAAAUAGUUGCUGCCUAAUUCAUUUGAAAAGGUCUUCCGAAUCGACUUGACGUACAUAGAAAUAUUUGCCACUGGUCUUUACUCAAACAACGAUUCACGCAUAAAUGCAUGACUAAAAAAAGUGUGGGGUAAAUGAUAUGUUUGUCUAGUAUCUCAAAUCCGUUAAAUAACACUUAAAAUAAAUUUAAAAAAACGUGACCCUAUUCUUUUACCAAAUACUCCUUGGAGAAGAAAUACCAUUUGAAACAAACAGAAAAGAUAAAAAUUUAGAGAUCCCUAAUAACUCAAUCCUUUUUUUCGGCUGUAAGCACGCUGCUGCAGCUAACGUUUUCUAGUGCGUAAUCGAGACAUCUCUAGUAUAUUCAAACUACUGCAAAUUAUAAAAAUGGCUUUCAUAAAGUAGUAACCACUUAACUUAAAAAGGGGAGGGUUAUUUUUUUUUUUUAUCUGAGUAAGAUUUUUUUUCGCGCGUACGUUUUUAUUCCUUUUUUUUCGAUGCUGGUGAUCAAAUACAUUUUUUUUCAAUAUUUAACACUAUAAUGUAUGGGGAAACUCUUUGAUUCAGAAUAUUUCUUUUAUCAUCUGUAUGAUCAUUUUUUUUUAUCAAAUUGGGGAUCGGAAUAUUUCCAUUCCCACCCCACCCCCCUUUUGAAGUCAAAUGGUUGUUCCCUUACCGCUAGAAAAAUUGUCCCAAAAUUUUGAAUUCAGUUCUACGUAAUGAACAUUUAAAUGACACAUAGUUUACAAGUGAGAACAAAUCUUAUGUACAGGUAGCUAAACAAUGUGUAUAGAUGUGAACAAAUGUAAUUUGAAACCAGUGCACACUUCACUAAACUAAUUGUAAACAUGUUUACUCUACACGGCGUUUGGUGUGAACACGGCCUAAGAC